rnacentral:rRNA from 1 species
UACGAAGGGGGGCUAGCGUUGCUCGGAAUCACUGGGCGUAAAGGGUGCGUAGGCGGGUUUCUAAGUCAGAGGUGAAAGCCUGGAGCUCAACUCCAGAACUGCCUUUGAUACUGGAAGUCUUGAGUAUGGCAGAGGUGAGUGGAACUGCGAGUGUAAGAGGUGAAAUUCGUAGAUAUUCGCAAGAACACCAGUGGCGAAGGCGGCUGCACUGGCCAUUACUGACGCUGAGGCACGGAAAGCGUGGGGAGCAAACAGG